rnacentral:lncRNA from 1 species
AAAACCUAUUGUGUUAAUGAAGGGAUGGAAUGGAUUUUCAUUUGUUUGUUUUUUCUCUUGUUUCAGAAAGGCUGAAGGUCAUACACAUGGCAGAAGCCCCCAACCCUGCCUGCAGGAGCUCCUGGUAAAAGCAUUCAGGCAGGGUGAGAUGCAGAGCCUGAGCUGCCACUCGAUGUUGUACACUCUAUAAUUGGCAGCAAAUGUCAGUGACCUGGCAUGAUUCCUGGCUAUGAAGUGGCUCCUUUUUGGAAGAAGAAAUUUUUGCUCCAGUUCCUGAGUGUUUCCUGGAAGGCAUGAUAGCAUUUAUGGGCCUUGAUAUGACUUUAACUCAUGCAACAAUGCAGCAACUGGUUUAACUGUCUGAUUGAGGUAAUUCUUGAAGUCAGCCUAAAAGCAUCUAUCUCAAGGCCUGCCAAAGAUAUGCUUUUCAGACAUACACAGAUGUAAGAAGACAUGAUUUAAAACCUUCAUGUGAUAGAAAUUAAUCUUAGAAAUGUGGAUAUGUGUACCUGUUCAUACCUCAGCCCUCUCUUCUGACACAGUGUUUCUUGUUUCAGUGAUGUUCCUCUUACUUUACCUGGGAAAUUUCUUCAUCAGCUCAUCCUGCACUUCUCCUCAGCCCAGCUAAUAAUCACACACUGCCUUUCCAUAUGGGCACUCUGGCAGUGCUGAUGAGUAUUUUCGCUUUAAUAGAAAACAAGACUGAAUAAAAGAUCAAAAUAUUUUCCA